CUGCUCUCAGGAUAAAUCUGUACUUUUUAUUCUGACCUCACAAUCUGGUUCUGUCCAACUUUUUGUUGUGUCUCUGUGCUCUUUGCUCACUAUACUCCAUCCGCCCUAAUAUUCCAGCUUCUUAAACAUGCUAAGUUCACUCCUAUUGACAACUGAAUGCAAUGUGGGAUCCUGGAUUAGAUCUUAGCCCAGAAUAGGUCUUCAGUGGAAGAACUGGCAAAAUUUGAAUAAGGUCUCUGGUUUCGUGAAUGGUAGUGUAUUGAUGUUCAUUUCCUGCUUUUGAUCAUUGGAGUGAUAGUGAGAUGUUAACAUUUGGGAAAACACAAAGAAAGGCAAAUGGACAUCUCUACUAUUUUUGUAACUUUUGUAAGUUAAAAUUGUUUCAAAAUGAGUUAAAAAUGAAAAGGAAGUUUUCUCUUUCAGCUGGGAAAAUGGCAAUGAAUUAAUAAGAAAUUAACGGUGAAGUGAUGACUCAAAUUCUACAUUGCUCCGAAAGCAAGCCAUGGAUUCCACCACCUGUUGGUGCUACAGCAAUUCUAUGUUUGAGCACCUCCGUGGGCUUUAUCCACUUCCAAAGCAGCUAUGUGACUUCUAGGAUUUUCAACAUAUUGUGCUUCUGCAAGAAACAUCACUGGGUUACUACCCUGCAGGUGACAACGCACUCAGUGCACAUCUGUGCUAACCAGGGAAUUGUGUGAACUGUCUCUUCUGCAUUGAAAAGGUAGCUAAAAUGUAAAAAACAAAAUCUGAUGAAAUCAUGCAAAUCAUGAAAAUAUUUCAGAGUAGCUCCCUCUCUGCAAUGUAAUGUUUUAAAAAGAUUUAAUAAGAUAGAUACCUUUCCUCCCCUGAUUUCUUUUUAAGUAAUUACUUCGAUAAAGACCAUAUAGUUUCUCUACGUAAGCAUGCUUCUGAAUAAUAAAGGGUCAAUUGUAAAACA
rnacentral:lncRNA from 13 species